CUGACUGUAUUCUUGAAACAGGAAGUUAAAUAUCCGUGCAGUGACACUUUUAGGCUAGCAACUUUUUCCAGGGAUUUCAGAACAGCGUAACAAAUAUUGCGUCAUCGGGCAGGCGUGGCCUAUUUGAUAAUUUGCAUAGGUCAACGACCAUGCGCAGAGUGAAGGAAAGCCGUUCGCUAAAAUUGCUUCAAAUAGCGUUACUUCUCCGAGAUCGUGGGUGUUUUUCAUAUUAUAUUCAUACUGUUACAGCUAAAGGUAACCUUUCCGCGAUCGAGGGGUGUUUCGUGUCAAAUUAAAUUCAUACAGUUAAAAUUACAUUAGAUCAACACUGUUAUAACUUCAGAUACCUGUCCUGAUCUCAGGUGUUUCAUGUAAAAUUACAUUAAUACAGUUACAACUUUAGAUACCUGUCCUGAUCUCAGGUGUUUCAUGUAAAAUGUAAAUUAAUACAGUUAUAUCUUCAGAUCCCUGUCCUGAUCUCAGGUGUUUCAUGUAAAAUGUAAAUUAAUACAGUUAUAUCUUCAGAUCCCUGUCCUGAUCUCAGGUGUUUCAUGUAAAAUGUAAAUUAAUACAGUUAUAUCUUCAGAUCCCUGUCCUGAUCUCAGGUGUUUCAUGUAAAAUGUAAAUUAAUACAGUUAUAUCUUCAGAUCCCUGUCCUGAUCUCAGGUGUUUCAUGUAAAAUGUAAAUUAAUACAGUUAUAUCUUCAGAUCCCUGUCCUGAUCUCAGAUGUUUCAUGUCAAAUUACAUUAAUAGAGUUAUAACUUCAGAUCCCUGUCCUGAUCUCAGGUGUUUCGUGUCAAAUUACAUUAAUAGAGUUAUAACUUCAGAUCCCUGUCCUGAUCUCAGGUGUUUCGUGUCACAUUACAUUAAUAGAGUUAUAUCUUCAGAUCCCUGUCCUGAUCUCAGGUGUUUCAUGUAAAAUGUAAAUUAAUACAGUUAUAUCUUCAGAUCCCUGUCCUGAUCUCAGAUGUUUCAUGUCAAAUUACAUUAAUAGAGUUAUAACUUCAGAUCCCUGUCCUGAUCUCAGGUGUUUCGUGUCAAAUUACAUUAAUAGAGUUAUAACUUCAGAUCCCUGUCCUGAUCUCAGGUGUUUCGUGUCACAUUACAUUAAUAGAGUUAUAUCUUCAGAUCCCUGUCCUGAUCUCAGGUGUUUCAUGUAAAAUGUAAAUUAAUACAGUUAUAUCUUCAGAUCCCUGUCCUGAUCUCAGAUGUUUCAUGUCAAAUUACAUUAAUAGAGUUAUAACUUCAGAUCCCUGUCCUGAUCUCAGGUGUUUCGUGUCAAAUUACAUUAAUAGAGUUAUAACUUCAGAUCCCUGUCCUGAUCUCAGGUGUUUCUUGUCAAAUUACAUUAAUAGAGUUAUAACUUCAGAUCCCUGAUGUGCUCCUAACAAGUUUGACCUUAAGACCUCUUUUAAGGGUUAAGAUGCUUUCUGAAUUACUUUUUUCUUUACUAGGA